AAAUAAAAGUGUGUUACAUCCUCUGGGAAGUUCAGGGCUUCCCUUCCGAUUCCUACAAAUUCUGGGAGGUUUAUAGCCUCAUUCCCGUAAUUAGUUACCCUCCUUCCCAUUUCCUAUUUGUCUGAAUCUCGUACAUGUCUCAUCUCCUAAAGAUCUGAUCUUAGCUCUGCACCAAUCUAGACUUAGAAACUGCUCCUUUUCUUUGAUUUCCCUCGUAAUGUUGCUCAGAUGGAGCAUCUGUAGCAGAGGACUAUUUUGAAGUACUACCUAGAAUCCUUUUGGCACCAUGUAGUAAAAGUUGGAUACUUGAUACUGCUUUUCUUCAGCGUCGUUUCAGCACCCUUUGACUGAGGAAUUUCUCCUGUGCUAACAUUUCUCCACGGGACUCCCCUAUGCAAUGGGAUGGGCCCUGAACACCAGAUCCCUGUCCUGUUGACAUGUCUCCAAUGGCACAUAAGUCCCCAUGCACCCAGUUCUCCUUACGUUCCUUUCAGACUAAUUUAACGAUCUCUUUUCUUGCCAGCGCAUUUCCAACCACAUGCUAGGUGCCUCAUCUGUCGUAUCCAAAGCAAAGGAACUGGUCAAGGGGGCAAGUGAAGGAGUCCAUCACACUGGAGAGCAGGCAUGCUGCUCACUCUCCCAGGGGCAGGAGCAGCUCAAGUUGUGAUUGUGCCUACACUUGGUCACGGAGUAUAUCUUCAGGAAUGUUCAUUGGAAGGAGGAAUGAAGAAGAAAUUGACCCGUCCAUUUUCUCUUGCCUCUCUUUGGCCAAGAUGGCACUAUGAGGAAUUAACUACCUUGCAUUCCAGCUUGCUGCUGCAUUUGUGCAGGAAAUAUUAAGCUUGCUGAUGAGAAAGGAGAAGAAAUAGAGAAAACAACGUACAGUUAGGCCUAUAGGAAUCUGCCGAGGGGAACUGACAAGCCCUGCUCAGUCUUGCCCACUGUCUGCUUGGAGGAUCAGGAUGAGUUUGUUUACUUGAGACUACAUAGGAGUCAAGAACACAUUAAUCCUGUGAUGAAUGGACACCUUGCCUCUUCUUAUCCUUGGCCUCCUUAUGAAACUACCACCAUCUUGUUAAUUUGGGAAGUUUGUUGCUUUAUCAUUUCUUACUAUAGAGAAAUCUAAAUGGCAUAACAUUGUAAUACAAUUGUAAUCUUUACAUUCCCUUAAAUAUA